rnacentral:lncRNA from 1 species
CAUAUGGUACAAAUUGACUCUAUCGGAUCAGGCACAGCGAUGCCCUUAGGUUGAAAAAUGCCUGUACAAAAAUAUUUAAUCAAAUUGAAAAUUGGAACCAUGUUUUUGAAACAGUGAAUUAUAUCAAAUCAUAAGAUUACGAAUAACAACUUAAUAGCUUGAGAUAUAUCAUAAUAAUAAUGUUCAAUUCAAUAAUUGAGAGCUAGAAAAUGUUUGGGGGAGGGGGUACACUAUCAGCCUCACGAAACAAAAUAAAAAGCUAUACAUCUUAAGUCAAAGUGAGGAAAGAAUUAUGAAGCACUUACAAGACUAGGUGUGCCGCCGUGUCCGACACUCCUAUGAUACUCGUCAACACAUGUUGGACAACCAAAACCGAUAUCCUAAAUAAUUUUUUCUUCUUCUAUGCUUCGACACUACUAGAACGGUGUCCAACACUUAUACAACACUCAUAUGAGCCGUGUCGGACAACUCAGAUAAAAGUCUGAAACAUCUGUGAUUCCCAACAUCCUAGUGUCAUUUCUUUGUGGUGGGUGUUGUUGCACAUAUUAGGCCCUUAUGGGGUUCUCAUUCUUAUUGCUUGCGGUUGCGGUUCUUAUUCAUAGUGCACUCUUCACUCUUGAAAAAUUUGCCAGACUGCUUCAGAGCAACAUCUGUGAAUUUCUUUCUAGUGUUGUUAUUUGAGACAAUAAACACUUCAUAUUGUUUAUUCCAAAGGAGUAUUUCUUUAAACUUUUAAUCAUUUUCUUCUUGGUCAUCCAUUUCGAGCGCUACUCGGAUCUCAUUCUUCAAAACAUUAGCAACUUUGUUGUUUGGAAGAACAUUUUUGUUGUGAUUCCCUUCAAGUCGAAAUAGUUUGUAUCAGUCAAGAAUAGUUGAACCCGAGUUAGUAAUUUAUUUGGUGGACAUGUCAGAAAAUAAAUGUCUUAAAAUUGUUGAAACCAAAGUUAAAAUCCUUCAAAAGUAUUGUAGCCACUGAGGAGGCUAUUGGACUGAUUCGUUGACUAGGUUGGUCUCUUUAAGAAGUUUCGUAGAACUACCCUAAAAUUUUGCAAGCAAACUAUCAAUCACAACGUCCCUAGGAUAAAACAACUCAACUACACCCUCAAAUAUGGUUCUAAAACCACUCAAGUAUGGUAUUGUGAUCACUGUAAUCCGGUACUAGGACCACUCUUAAACGGAAUGGACAAUGGUUACUAAAACAACUCCAACUAUUGAAAGGACCAUGAUAUUAUGACCACUUUAAAUAUCAGAAGGACACGUUUAUCAAAGGAGACAAAAAAUCCACUCUAAGUAUCAAAGAGACGAUGAUAUUAGGAUCACUUUAAAUAUCAAAAUAACACGUCUCUCAAAAAUGAUAACCAAAAGGACAAAAUUUUCUCGAAAUAUUAUAACAGAAAAGGAAGAAGUGGCUCACAAGCGCAUCGAACAUUAACGAAAGAGACAACUUAGAAAUACCUAAAGUUUUG